rnacentral:rRNA from 1 species
AUGCAGAACUACAGCAAGCUCAACAAGUUGCCCACAAUCGUUGAAGAGGACGAAACAGACAGGGGCGACGGGUAUAAUGGCCCUACUUUCAGAUGUUCAGUUCAGAAGAUGUACUCUGUUAUUUCGCAGUUUGACCAGCAGAAACGAGAAAUUGUUAACUCUAUGGGUUGGGGUGGCACUCUAUCCAUGCCUCUCAUCAGCAACCUAAGCGUCAGGCAUAUGGUCUGGCUUCUGGGGAUGGUGGAUGAGGUCAGACAAGCCAUUGUACUGGGACCGAAUAAGGUUUUUAAGUUCAAUGAGAGUGAUGUUGAGAAGGUAUUCGGAAUCCCGGCAGCUGGAACAGAUGUCAUGGACAGAACUCUUGAUAGGAGUGACACUGUAUAUGCAUACUUGCGUGGUCGUUUGGGGAUAGAGAACAAGGAAGUAAGAAGUCUGAAGAGCAUACAGUCCAUACUGUCAUGUGACUACAAGGGGAAGAUGUCACAAACAGAGGUGGCUGCAUUCAAAACUGCGUACAUCGUAUUCAUGAUGACACAUGUAUUUGCACCGACAGUCAAGAAUGACUACUUCUACACUGAUUAUUGGCCAGCACUGGUCGACCCAGAUAGCUUGGAUAAGUUCAAUUGGGGAAGAUAUAUUGUUGAAGUAGUGUGUGCAGCCGCCGUUAAGAUGAAACAAGAUAUUCGCAGGAAAGCGACGGUGUCGAACAUAAUAGGAUGCCUGCUCUUCCUACAGGUUUUAUAUCUAGACAACAUUCAGUUGGGGGACUUAAGCAUGACACAUGAUGUGUUCCCCAGAAUUAAAGCUUUCACCGUGGAUAAAAUUAGAGCCAUGAUUAAUGCCGACAAAAGGCCAAUGGAUUCAUCGAAAAACGGAGAUUUCAUUUAUGGAAUUUCAGCACCACGGGAUGCUGAUAGUUCAGCAUAUUCUAGGGCAGAUGACGAAGAUAAUGCGCAACAAGGGGGGGAUGCUUGGGCAUGCGCAACCAAGAUUUGUGAUGCUAUGGGCUUGACGCAUCAGGCCAAACUUAACCUAUAUAAUGAGCUGACAGCACACCAAGAGGACAUCAUUAAACAGGUUGAAGUUAUGAAUGCAAAAUUUUAUGAGAAGAUAUACAGAAUGUUAAAUGACAACAGCUUUACACGUAAUAAGGGUGUGAUGCAUGCAUCCGGGUUGACGAAUGUAAGUAGAGACAACAAUGCCACGAAAUCUUCAACAGUGGAGGCUGAUAUGGCUUCUGAUGAUGUGAGCAGCCCAGAAAAGAGGAACGAUGAAGCUUUCGUUAUCCAUAUGCAAAAUAAACGCCCUCGUGUGGAUAUCGAUGCAACAAGCAACGCAGUAGCAUCACAACAUGGUGGGGGGAUGAGAUCUAAUUCUGAGAUGGAUGUCGAUCUCAAUGUGGCCGACCUGCUGGCUAGUACGCUUGAGGGGAACACAAUGGAUGUUAGGAAUCAUGUGAACACGGUUUGCUGGGACAAUGAGCCGAGUUUUGAUUUAGGUCUGGAUUUCACACCGUCAUCAAAGGUGGGCAAGAACAAGAGUUUCAGCUGUAGAUAUCAAGACGGUGGUUGUGCUUUAUUCGGAAAUAUAUCUGAUGGGGAUGUUGCUGACAUUAACAACGGAUCUCAAGGUGUUACAUCAUCAUGCGAAUCGUGGCGAAAUGAUGGCAUCACGGGUGGGAGUAGUGAUGGUCAAGGACCAAAUAAGUCAUCACACACCCCCAGCGCAUGUCCUUCAGACAAUUUGGGCACUCCUGCAAGUUCAGUAGCCGACUCUGUUCCUCCCUACUGGUACCUCAGUGAGCAGACAAGGUCGUCCUCACCGACAUCCGUUGAUAAAAUUAUUCAAGACUAUUUUGUAUUUGAGAAGGACACAAGGUUUACGGACAUUAUUAACCUCAACGCAAAGAUUUUGGAUUUCGACGUCAGCAACUCGCCUGUGGUCAAAAGGAGAACUGUGUCACACACAAACCAUGUGGCAGGGCCAUGCAUCACUGCAUUGGCCAGUCAUGACAAGAAGGUCAUAGACGAUUUUUUCUGCUUCGUAGCAAGUAUGGAAGAAUCACAUGCAGAGAAAUGCGUGUGGAUAAUGCAUCACACACCAAGCUACAUAGAGGUGACCGCAGACCAGCUGAAGAGUUCCUUCUGCGGUAAGGUUGAUGUAGAUCACGACAUUUUUAGCCUUAUGAUUCGGAGACUGAAACAGAUAGAUGAUGGAGCUGCCCAAGGCGGAGAUAUGACCAGAAUAAAACAUUACAUGGAGGCUGAUCUCAUGAUGCGUGUGAUGGCAGGAGAUAUGCGAUGUCAGCAUAAAUCCAUUCGGGAUCAGUUCAUUGGAGAUCACAUCACCUACGACGUACCAAAUUGUAUGCUGAUUAUGUUUCCGGCCUACGUCAGCUUCGCUUGGGUAUGUUACACAAUACAUACAAUUAAAAAGAAGGUGUUCAUCUAUGACCCGUUAGCAUCGGAGAAUGGUGGAGCAAUCAAACAACUACAUAUGAGAAACUGCAACCUGUUGAAGUCUGCUAUGAUUGAGUUUGCAAAAACAUAUUUUGAAUUUUGGGACUUCGGGUUCGGUGACUUAGAACCGGCUAUUAUUCAUCCUAAACGUCAAGUGUCUGAAAGGCACCUAUCUGGGUUUUACACAAUGAACUUCUGCAGGAACUUCAUCGGUGACCAAGAGGCAGAUAAUAUUCAUGUGGACGAUGACAGUUGUAUGGCGGCAUAUUACCUUUACGACAUUCUACAUCUCAAGGGGAACAAUGCAAAGAGGCCACAUCAGUUCAUCGAGUCUAUCGAUGAAUGA